rnacentral:rRNA from 1 species
UACGUAGGUGGCAAGCGUUAUCCGGAUUUACUGGGUGUAAAGGGCGUGUAGGCGGGAUUACAAGUCAGAUGUGAAAACUAUGGGCUCAACCCAUAGCCUGCAUUUGAAACUGUAGUUCUUGAGUGAUGGAGAGGCAGACGGAAUUCCUCGUGUAGCGGUGAAAUGCGUAGAUAUGAGGAGGAACACCAGUGGCGAAGGCGGUCUGCUGGACAUUAACUGACGCUGAGGCGCGAAAGCGUGGGGAGCAAACAGG